AUUGAACGCUGGCGGCAUGCUUUACACAUGCAAGUCGAACGGCAGCGCGGGCUUCGGCCUGGCGGCGAGUGGCGAACGGGUGAGUAAUACAUCGGAACGUGCCCAGUAGUGGGGGAUAGCUCGGCGAAAGCCGGAUUAAUACCGCAUACGACCUGAGGGUGAAAGCGGGGGAUCUUCGGACCUCGCGCUAUUGGAGCGGCCGAUGGCAGAUUAGCUAGUUGGUGGGGUAAAGGCCUACCAAGGCGACGAUCUGUAGCUGGUCUGAGAGGACGACCAGCCACACUGGGACUGAGACACGGCCCAGACUCCUACGGGAGGCAGCAGUGGGGAAUUUUGGACAAAGGGCGAAAGCCUGAUCCAGCAAUGCCGCGUGUGUGAUGAAGGCCUUCGGGUUGUAAAGCACUUUUGGCGGGAACGAAAAGGACUGUGCCAAUACCACGGUUCGACGACGGUACCCGCAGAAUAAGCACCGGCUAACUACGUG
rnacentral:rRNA from 1 species